CGGGACGGGUGAGUAAUGUCUGGGAAACUGCCUGAUGGAGGGGGAUAACUACUGGAAACGGUAGCUAAUACCGCAUAACGUCGCAAGACCAAAGAGGGGGACCUUCGGGCCUCUUGCCAUCGGAUGUGCCCAGAUGGGAUUAGCCAGUAGGUGGGGUAACGGCUCACCUAGGCGACGAUCCCUAGCUGGUCUGAGAGGAUGACCAGCCACACUGGAACUGAGACACGGUCCAG
rnacentral:rRNA from 1 species